rnacentral:tRNA from 1 species
AAAGGUAUAGCUCAAUUGGAAAGAAACGAGAGCGUAUGAGGUUCGAUACCUCAUCUUGGUGUAAGGUACACAAUGCAGGUUCGAGUCCUGUUGCCUUUU